AUUGAACGCUGGCGGCAGGCCUAACACAUGCAAGUCGGACGGUAGCACAGAGGAGCUUGCUCUUCGGGUGACGAGUGGCGGACGGGUGAGUAAUGUCUGGGGAUCUGCCCGAUAGAGGGGGAUAACCACUGGAAACGGUGGCUAAUACCGCAUAACGUCGCAAGACCAAAGAGGGGGACCUCCGGGCCUCUCACUAUCGGAUGAACCCAGAUGGGAUUAGCUAGUAGGCGGGGUAACGGCCCACCUAGGCGACGAUCCCUAGCUGGUCUGAGAGGAUUACCGGCCACACUGGAACUGAGACACGGUCCAGACUCCUACGGGAGGCAGCAGUGGGGAAUAUUGCACAAUGGGCGCAAGCCUGAUGCAGCCAUGCCGCGUGUAUGAAGAAGGCCUUCGGGUUGCAAAGUACUUUCAGCGGGGAGGAAGGCGAUGUGGUUAAUAACCGCGUCGAUUGACGUUACCCGCAGAAGAAGCACCGGCUAACUCCGUGCCAGCAGCCGCCGCGG
rnacentral:rRNA from 1 species